rnacentral:rRNA from 1 species
AUUGAACGCUGGCGGCAUGCCUUACACAUGCAAGUCGAACGGCAGCGCGGGAGCAAUCCUGGCGGCGAGUGGCGGACGGGUGAGUAAUACAUCGGAACGUGCCCAAUCGUGGGGGAUAACGCAGCGAAAGCUGUCCUAAUACCGCAUACGAUCUACGGAUGAAAGCAGGGGAUCGCAAGACCUUGCGCGAAUGGAGCGGCCGAUGGCAGAUUAGGUAGUUGGUUAGGUAAGGGCUCACCAAGCCUGCGAUCUGUAGCUGGUCUGAGAGGACGACCAGCCACACUGGAACUGAGACACGGCCCAGACUCCUACGGGAGGCAGCAGUGGGGAAUUUUGGACAAUGGGCGAAAGCCUGAUCCAGCCAUGCCGCGUGCAGGAUGAAGGCCUUCGGGUUGUAAAAUGCUUUUGUACGGAACGAAACGGUCUUUUCUAAUAUAGAAGGCUAAUGACGGUACCGUAAGAAUAAGCACCGGCUAACUACGUG